rnacentral:lncRNA from 15 species
GGAAUAGUUCACUUUAAAUGAAAAUGUUAUCUACUCACCCUCGUGUCAAUGAGAAGUCCGGUGUAUUUUUUAAUCCACUCAACACUGCUGGAGUUUCACAGGAAAACAGAUUGUAGCAUUUUUCCAGACAACAGAAGUCUAUAGAGACCAGUGUUAAAAUGGCUCCUGGAGCUGCCACAUGCAGAGCUGACUUGAAAAAACAUAAUUUACAUUGUGUUUCUAGCGAAGAGCUAGCUUAGGUUAUGUGUGCGUUCCUCACACACGCAUGUGACUGCAUCUCUAAACUAGCUCUUACAGGUAGCUGUGCUGCAACCUGUCUGAGACCUCUGCUGGUCUCUGUCAACUGCUGUUGUUUGGAAAAAGACUCGUUUUCCUGUAAAAGUCCAGAAGGAUUUUGUGUAUUAAAAAACUACACUGUAUUUCUCACCAGCUUGAGGUUGACUAGAUAAUGACUGAAUUUUGAUUGAACUAUUAUUUUACAUAUAAAAUAAAAUGUUCAACAAUGUCAGUGUUCGCAUUACAAGUGUCUUUUCUCUUAUUUGCUGCAGCCUACAGCUCUGACCUGAUCAGGGCUCAUGCAGAGCGAGCCCUAAGCCUAAGCCCUGUGCAGACUGCUGAGGAGGUGGAGAACCCCAAAGACUUGCAGACUGCUGAGGAGGUGGAGAACCCCAAAGAGUUGCAGAAUGCUGAGGAGGUGGAGAACCCCAAAGACUUGCAGACUGCUGAGGUGCAGAGCAGAGGGUCAGACACGGGCACAGAGCUUAAUUCAAGACGAAAAAAGGAAACAGCAGAGGCACCAAAGCAUCUGCCUGUGAGGAAAAAGACACAGAUAAACUGCUCCUACCACUCUCGUCUAGAGGCUUUCCCCAUCAGACGAGUUGUAAAAGAAAGAUUGAGAAAUGUAAGACAGCAAUAAAAUAAUUCAUAGAGGGUUAUGAUUAUUAGAAUUGAGAAAAUUCCUUGUGAGUUAGAUUAAAGGAGUCAUAACCUGGAAAACACAUUUUCCCUUGUUAAUACAAGUAUAUUGUAGUUGGACCUCAGUUGAAACUUGCCUGAAAAUUUGGAGUUUGAAAGUGGUUCUGUUUUUUCGUUUGGCCUCUUUGUUGAAACCACAAGGGUGCGCACCCAAAACAAGAGGUUUUCAUUCUGCUCCUCAGCUGACGUCAGCUCAGGAGCAGAAUGAAAACCUCUUGCUCUUAGGGGGACACAACAAGCUCAAUGUUUAUAAUUUAUUUGGCAAAUUCUUUUUUAAAAAUCAUUUUAAGACAAUCAAUGAGAGACAAGAUAUGUUAAAACACCAGGUGAUGAGUCCUUUAAAACAUAUUUUGUACUGAAAAUUUAAUUUAAAAACACUGUAAAUAUCAACUACAUCCCACUGUAUCAAUGAAAAUCGAUGAUUACUGCUAAAAAUAAAAGCUUAAUCCUAAGAAUGGAAUUAAUGAUUUUUUUUCUCUUUAUAGGGCAAAGAAGAAAUAUUGGUUAACUGGAAGCCCUGUCCAGUAUGAUAUAUAUUCAGCCUUUGUUCUGCUUCUUCUAGUCCCAUGUUGGAGAACAAACAUAUCCUACCGCCAGUAGUCUAAUUUUUUUCACUGUUGCAUCAGUUAAAGCAACCCAUAUGUUUAUGCAUAAUUGAUUUACGUCAGAGUGUGUUUAAGAUUUUGUUUUGAUUGUGUUGUGUUGAUGUGUGCUUGAUUCAUGUUUAAAGGUUUAAGUUCAUUGGAAAGACUCAACAAGUACCAGUAACAGACAAAAACCCCUUCUGUUUUCAGUGGUAAGGAGUGGGCCCAUUCCUGGCAACCGAAGGAUUUUCUUCAAUGAAUUCAUAGUUUUUAGUUUUUUUGUACUUUAUAUUGUUUGCUAAUAUAAGUGACAUAUUAUUUGAUUGUUGUGUUUUUUUGUUGUUAUGAAAGAUAAAUAAAUUGUCAAAGAUGAACAUUUUUGGUUUUACUUCUCCAUGCAUCAUCUUAUUCAAAAACACAAUGUGAUAGUGUUAGUUGAUGAAAGGUAAUAGCUAAAGAAGAUGACGAAAAUAACCAUAAAUACAGCAUGAUUAGACUUUAUUUAUCUUUUAUUAUUUACUUGCAAUCACAUCGCAUUAUUUCACUUGCUUAAGUGGAUUACUUUAAUGAAUCAACAUCCGUUAUUUCUUUCACCCAGACAGUAUACCGUAUACUGUACUACAGUAUAUGUUUAUAUUUUGUAUACAUCAAAGUGGACUACAUAUUUGUGGUAGAUUAUUAUUUGUUUUAGCUUUUUAAAAAUAUAAGUAAUUUUUUUAUAUAACACAUUAUGUGAAUGUUGCUAAUGAUUAUGUCAUUGCUACAUGCAAAGGGCCACUAGUUUCAUCCACAGCAGUGGUACACUAGUAUAAAGACAGGUUUGCCAAUGUCUUUAUACAGAGAACUAAAUGUAAGUAUCAGCAUUUCUGAAAUGUGUACCUGUGUAUUGACGGAAUAUACAGUAAAUACUGCUCUACCGAGUUGUAAAUUUAGUAGCUUUUAAUCCAAUAAUAAUAAUUAUUUUCCUAAUACAUAACAGAAAUUGUCUGACUGCCCUCAGUUGCCUCAAUAAGCCCAUCUUGAUUUGUCCAUCAGUAUUUGGAGGUUAGGAUACAUUUAUAUGGUAGCAUGAUUGACUGUUCCCUGGCCUGAGAAAGGUCAGAGCACCUAUCUGCAGUGAUCUGACCUCCCCAACACAACCAAAGCAACACUGACACAAAAAGAAAAGAAGAAAGGCUUCAGGACAAGAAAGAGUUUCUCAGGCUGAAUACAACACAUGACUCCAAGCCUGGAGAAAAGGAAGGUGAACAGAAAAAUGUAGUGAUAUUGUAAAAUAUUAGGACAAAGUACACCUUUGAUUUUAAGAACGUAACCAUUGAGAUUCAGUCAUUUUUUAGCUUCAGCUGUCAUCGGGUUCAUGUUUAGAGAUAUAUCUAUAAGUGAAACUAUACACACAGGUUUUAGGACUGUGUCAUCCGGAGGAGAGGUUAAAGUUACAGUGUUCUAUGAAGUACUGUAUAUGUAUCGCCCUCCGCACAGCAUGUUAGGCCUAUGCUGACUUUUUGGAUAAAAAGGUCCUAUGAUGGUUAUUUUAUAAGAUAUGUUUGCAAAACUUAAACUGUACACAGAAAUGUAUUAGCACUACGAUAUAUUACAAAUUGGAUCAUCCAGGAUGAUCCUGUCAGACUGGGGAAGGGGUUAAAGGGUCUAUAAACCGCCAUAUUAAGUUAAUGGGAAAAUGUCAAAGGUGAAACAAUCAGUAGUUUAAGGCGAAAAUAAACUCGGAACUGGUCCACAUUGAAAAGUAUGACUGUGUAUAAUCCUAUAAUCGAUAUCUUAAAUAAAUCUGGCCACAAAAUACCCGUUAAAAGAUUUUGAGUGACUGUUUCCAGCUUGGCCCUUAAAGAGGUCUCUGAAUGUAUACGUCAAACAGCCAUGAUGUCUACCAACAAGAAAAUCAAACUUUGUCGUAGGACAACAGUGAAGACAUCGUUGGAAAGGUCUUGACCUAGGGAGCAACAUAUGUCAAUAUGAGAUUUGUGGGCGGUUCCUGCUCCUCAGGUGUGCCCUUUGAACCUUGUACCUGUGACACUUUUGAAGGCUUAUAGUUCAACAACAAAAUAUGCUACAGACAUGGGGUCAACAGUUUUGGAAAGCUCUGCACCUAUACUAUCAUACCCAGCAGCAGACCAAUAGGGGGCGCCACUGAGUAGGGUCAAAACCUAUAAAAAACAUGAUUUCACCCUCUUACCAAUAAAAGUUAGAAUCAGACCAAAUAGGCGUGGUUCCCACCCUUAAAAACAUAUAAUAAGCUUGCAAAGUUCGUGUUCACAGUUUUACAUAAUAGAGAUAAUUCAUUGGAACUACAAAAGCUAUGACGCA